rnacentral:lncRNA from 1 species
ACAAAAAACAAAGAGGGACAUAGAUAGAUACAGCCAGCCUAGAUGAAACCACUGUUCUACAAGAAAGACAUUUAACAUGGGAUCAAAAAACUAUUUCCAUGACCAAGAUGGCAAGAUCUCAACUUGGUCAGAUAUGGAAAACUUGUACUCAAGAAGAUAGCUAGGUAAGGAACAUGCACCAAAACUUAUUGAGAUGUGAGAUGAACUUAGAAACAAUAAAAAAAGGAUGGAAUUAUGGUCAUGUUGGUGGAUUUGUGUGUUGCUAAAUCUGAGAUAAAAUGUAAGAGAAGGGGUG